CCUACGGGAGGCAGCAGUGAGGAAUAUUGGUCAAUGGCCGGAAGUCUGAACCAGCCAUGCCGCGUGAAGGACGAAGGUUCCAUGCAUUGUAAACUUCUUUUGUACGGGGGCAAAAUCAGCCACGAGUGACUGACCGAAAGUAUCUUACGAAUAAGCAUCGGCUAACUCCGUGCCAACAGCCGCGGUAAUACGGGGGAUGCGAGCGUUAUCCGGGUUUAUGGGGUUUAAAGGGUGCUUAGGCGGGUUGUUAAGUCAGCGGUAAAAGGCCGGGGCUAAACCCCGGACAGCCGUUGAAACUGGGUGACUUGAGAUGAGGAGAGGUAUGCGGAAUGUGUAGUGUAGCGGUGAAAUGCUUAGAUAUUGCGCAGAACACCGAUGGCGAAGGCAGCAUACCGGACUAGAUCUGACGUUGAGGCACGAAAGCGUGGGUAGCGAACAGGAUUAGAUACCCGAGUAGUC
rnacentral:rRNA from 1 species